rnacentral:rRNA from 1 species
CAGCGCCGCGGUAAUACGAAGGGUGCAAGCGUUACUCGGAAUUACUGGGCGUAAAGCGUGCGUAGGUGGUGGUUUAAGUCCGUUGUGAAAGCCCUGGGCUCAACCUGGGAAUUGCAGUGGAUACUGGGUCACUAGAGUGUGGUAGAGGAUAGUGGAAUUUCCGGUGUAGCAGUGAAAUGCGUAGAGAUCGGAAGGAACAUCUGUGGCGAAGGCGACUAUCUGGGCCAACACUGACACUGAGGCACGAAAGCGUGGGGAGCAAACAGGAUUAGAUACCCCCGUAGUCCCUGUCUCUUAUACA